GGAAAGGAGAGACAGGUGGUGCAUGGUUGUCGUCAGCUCGUGUCGUGAGAUGUUGGGUUAAGUCCCGCAACGAGCGCAACCCUUAUGUUUAGUUGUUAACAGGUUAAGCUGAACCCUCUAGACAGACUGCCGUGGAAAACACGGAGGAAGGUGGGGAUGACGUCAAAUCAUCAUGCCCCUUAUGAUCUGGGCUACACACGUGCUACAAUGGUCGGUACAACGGGCAGCGAAGGGGUGACCUGGAGCGAAUCCUAAAAAGCCGAUCCCAGUUCGGAUUGUAGGCUGAAACUCGCCUACAUGAAGUUGGAGUUACUAGUAAUCGCGAAUCAGAAUGUCGCGGUGAAUGCGUUCCCGGGUCUUGUACACAC
rnacentral:rRNA from 1 species